rnacentral:rRNA from 1 species
UGGUAAUGCCGGAUGCUCCAGUUGAUCGCAUGGUCUUCUGGGAAAGCUUUCGCGGUAUGGGAUGGGGUCGCGUCCUAUCAGCUUGACGGCGGGGUAACGGCCCACCGUGGCUUCGACGGGUAGCCGGCCUGAGAGGGCGACCGGCCACAUUGGGACUGAGAUACGGCCCAGACUCCUACGGGAGGCAGCAGUGGGGAAUAUUGCACAAUGGGCGCAAGCCUGAUGCAGCGACGCCGCGUGAGGGAUGGAGGCCUUCGGGUUGUAAACCUCUUUUAUCGGGGAGCAAGCGAGAGUGAGUUUACCCGUUGAAUAAGCACCGGCUAACUACGUGCCAGCAGCCGCGGUAAUACGUAGGGUGCAAGCGUUAUCCGGAAUUAUUGGGCGUAAAGGGCUCGUAGGCGGUUCGUCGCGUCCGGUGUGAAAGUCCAUCGCUUAACGGUGGAUCCGCGCCGGGUACGGGCGGGCUUGAGUGCGGUAGGGGAGACUGGAAUUCCCGGUGUAACGGUGGAAUGUGUAGAUAUCGGAAAAGAACACC